GACGAACCGAGCGAACGUUGUUCGGAAUCACUGGGCUUAAAGGGCGCGUAGGCGGCCUUCUAAGUCAGACGUGAAAUCCCCCGGCUUAACCUGGGAACUGCGUCUGAUACUGGGAGGCUUGAGUAUGGGAGAGGGAUGUAGAAUUCCAGGUGUAGCGGUGAAAUGCGUAGAUAUCUGGAGGAAUACCGGUGGCGAAGGCGGCAUCCUGGACCAUAACUGACGCUGAGGCGCGAAAGCUAGGGGAGCAAACGGG
rnacentral:rRNA from 1 species